rnacentral:tRNA from 1 species
GGCGGGUUAGCUCAGUAGGUAGAGCAGCGGAAUCAUAAUCCGCCUGUCACUGGUUCGAUCCCGGUACCCGCUACCA